GUCCCGGCGGCGCGCUCGGAUUGCGGUCCGAGUCUCCGGGAGGGACUGGAGGGCGAGGGGUUGGGGGUGGGCAGCUCGGCGGUGUGGAAGCAGGUCCGAGUACGGGUCCUGCCUUCGGCCUUUUCUACCCUCUGACUCUCGGGAAGUCAGUUAACCACCCGGAACCUCAGUUUCUUCAUCCGCAAAACGAGCGCGUGAACCGGGACGACCGUGUGGGGACCGGGACGGGUGAGAGGCGCGCGGCUCAGCAUGCAGAGGCGCGGGGAAACGGCCGGCCGGCCAGGCAAGACCUGCCUCCCUGUGCCUGGCAGCUGGCACCCAGCGCCCCACCUGGCCCACCUGCACCGCGGGCUGGGUGCGCGAGGCCUGCCGGAAAAUCCCAGAUGCUCGCGGGGCCCCAAUUUCCGGGCAGGGCGAUGGAGGCCCUGCUGUGCCCAGGGCGCUGCAGAGCUGGGCCGGGACUUGCCACCCUCAGGUCGGAGCCUAGGAUGGAGGAGACUCGUUUUUACUUUCCGAACAGAGCUGAUUGGCUCCUCCUAGUUUUUCUGUUUGUGUUGGAAGGGGCUUGGGCUCGGUGACCCAUUGUCACUCUGACCCAAGCUUUCCCCACCCCCACCUGGGUACCACUGACCGGGGCGAACAGAGAGGAAGCCGAGACUCCCUCCCAGGCACCCGGGUACCUGGGACUGGCUGCGUGGCUUCCCGCCGCUGCCUCCACCCCACCUUUCUGGCCGUCUCUUCACUUCUCUCAUAAUCCCGAUUAAUCGUCAGGUUAAUGCUACGGUUGCCAGUAUUACCCUAUUGGCCUUUGUCCCUUAAACGGAGGUUGCCAAGGUGCCACUGUGAGGUCCUGGUUGUGAAGAUGCAUGGUUGGCACUCCCUGUGCUGUGGGGAUGUUGAGAAGGAAGGUGAAAGCCACGAGCAGGGACAGAGGGUUCAGGGUUCAGUCGGAUCCUGAGCUGAUGAUGUGUGGUCCCAAACUCACCGUCUUCAUUGGCUCCAUUAUUCCAUAUAUAACGGCAAUGCCGUGUCCCUGGACGUUCCCCCGAGUCCCCAGCUGACCUCAUUUAGCUGCAGUGUGAAUGGUCAUUUAUCUGCUGUGUUCUGUGGUCUCUGGAGGCAAACUCCUAGGAGGCGAAGUGCCCGUUUACUUGUCACAGAGCUGGAGGGAGCCUUAUGCAGGAGGCUUAAGUACCUGGGCUGUUGAGUGAGUGUUCACCUGUGAAGGUUUCCCUAUGUGAUGGCAUCAUUAGGUCACAUGCGAUAGACGUCUGUCUGCCCGCCGCCAGCCACGUUAAGCUUUGACUUUUUUUUUUUCUAAUCUGAAGAGAACACUGCUGCCUGGAGAGGUGAAUCCUGCCCCUCCAUUCUGUGAAUGCUGAUUCCUAAAGGGCCAGGGUGUGAGAAACAGGCGUUGUUGGGUUUUCUGGAAGCUUUGGUGUGAGCCAGGGCAGGGGCCCUGGAGGGCUUGCUUCCAGCCCAAGGCAGAACCUCCCCAUUUGGCUUGGUCGGAACCUCCUGUUGAGAAGUGAACACACUACCCCAGGGGCUAUUAUUUCCACUGUGAAGGUGAAGGACGUGAGGCUCAGAGAGGCUCCAUACACAACGUGGGUAGUUGCAGAGUUGAAGUAAGACCGUCAGAUCCCUAAUCACCGAAAGAUUAGGGUCAGCGUCCCACGUGUAAUUUAAAAUAAAGACAAUACCAAGCCAUAAAUGUAAGCAAGGCGGACACUCUUCUGAUUUCUACUGUGGUCACGAUUUCGGUGCUUUUGGGUGAAAUUGCAGGGUCCAAACGACAAUAACAGCAGCACCUGAUGCUGUGUGCCUGAGUGUGGUCUGCACCUUGGUUAGUUCAGACCUGGGGGCCCGGUGCAAGCAGGCACUCUUCUCCUUGGGGAGCUAAAAGUACCACAUGCUCAGGAACUGUACCUCCAUGAAGCGUCCAAGCAGGCAUCAUCCCUUUACCUCCCCUGCAAGGAAUGCGAAUCUUUAACUUCACAGGACUUUCCCAGGGCAGGGCCUGGGUGGUCACCUCCGUCCCAGCUCCUGGCACCUACGUGGGUGGCCUCCUGUUUCCUCCUUAUCUGCAUCGGAUUCCUGGGAGGUGCCGGAAUCAGCACCUGGGGGCCCUACAAGAGGCAGGCAGACUGUGUCUUCCCGUCCUUCCCAAUUGCUGCAUUUAGAUGAAAGCUGGAUAAAACGAACACAGGAAGUCACAGUCACAGGAGAAGCCCGGGAAGAGCAGGGGGAGGGGCACAGGCAGU